rnacentral:lncRNA from 1 species
CAGCAUUUUGGGAGGCCGAGGUGAGUGGAUCACUUGAGCUUAGGAGUUUGAGAAAAGGCCUAAGCAACAUGGCAAGACCCCAUCUCUAAAAAAAUAGUUAGAUAGAUAGAUAUAGAUAGAUAGAUAGAUAGAUGGAUAGAUAGAUAGAUAGAUAGAUCUCUCUCUAUAUAUAUAAAAUUAGCCAGGCCUGGUGGCAUGUGCUUAUAAUCUCAGCUACCUGAGAGGCUGAGGUGGGAGAAUCACUUGAGCUUCGGGUGUGGGCGGGUGUCAAGGCUGCAGUGAGCCACGAUUGUGACACUGCAGUCCAGCUGGGUGACAGAGCAAGACCCUGUCUCCAAAAAAUAAACAUAAAAAAUAAUUUUUUUUGGCCAGGCAUGGUGGCUCACGCUUGUAAUCCCAGCACUUUGGGAAGCUGAGGCAGGAGGAUCACCUGAGGUCAGGAGUUCGAGACCAGCCUGGCCAACAUGGCAAAACCC